AUAUACUAUAUAUUUUAAAUACUAAACGAUCGUUGAAAUGACGAGAUAGUUCCCUGUCUAGCUAGGAACCUAGCUAACUGGAUUAUGCUAGUUAAGUAUAUUGGUGUUUUUCAUAUACUUUCUCAGUCGUUGCAACUGAUGUGAAUUCCUCAUCUACAAGAAUGUCAUAACAGGGAGUCUCCAAAGCACCACUCGGAAGGAAGAAGACAAAAAGAACGAACAAGUGUCUUUGGAUGUGACUGAGGCAGAAAAUCGACCAGAAGGACCAGGAACCCUCACAGGGUAAGUAGAGGACGUGGUGUCACUCAUUUGCAUAUAUGUCAUGAAAAAAUGUGAAGUGAGGAACAAACGAUCAUUAACAUUAAAAUAGUCAGCCAGACCUUUCCUCUCUGCAGAACUUCACACAUUUCAUAUCGAGGUAGACUGCAUACUGUUCCCCUUCCUAACAUGCCUCACCUUACACCUUGAACCAGACCCCAGACACACUCAUUAUGUUAAGUUAUGUAUUCUACAAGCUUGCUUUCUGCUUGCAGGAAAAGUUUAUUGAUGAAUCGAGAUGACGUUCCCUCUGAAAAUACAAAGUUAAAGCCUUGCAAGGAAAACUGGAUGCUUUGCGAGUUCCACUCAGUGAUGACGGCGAAAAACAAGAAAAAGCUGAAGAGGGAAUUCAGAAAACUCCUCAUAAAGGAUCUCAGGAGAGAUGAGCUGGGGAUGGCACGAAAGGAACCAGACGUAUCUACUGGGGCCACUAAGGUCCCUAUGGCAACGGAAGUGGACCCGGUGGUAAAGCUCAACGGCAAUGACACUGAGAAGGGAAAGAAAGAAAGCAAAGAUGGGCGUCUGGAUGAUUUGGAUGAUCAGAAAACAGAGCAUGCCAGAACAGACCAGCAGACCACUGAAGUCCAGGCCCUACUGAAUGACCUUCCAGUUGAGGUGGAUACUUCUGCAGGUGAGUAUAAGCCCUAAGCAUGUAUUCCCAUAUUGGGAUGCCCUUUUCUAGUAUUAUCUGAAUAAUCCUCCAUGAAUAUCUGUGCUGUAGAUCAGAAAACAAAGCAGGAAAGUGUACCAGACCAGGGGUCACCUGAAGCCCAGGCCCUGCUGAAUGACCUUCUGCAUGAGGCUGACACUUCCGCAAGUGAGUAUAAGCUCAAAACAGACAUUCCUAAACUUGAAUGUUUUCUAGUAUUGUUUGGCCAAGCACAUACUCCUAGAUUUAACCAAUCCCAUAUUGAUCCCUCUUUCAUAUUUUUAUCUUAGAUCCAACAACAAAGCCGGAAGGAGGAAAAGAGGAUGUUACCACUGAGGUGGCCGCUGUGCUGAACGAUAUUUUGGAUCAGGUCUCUACAGGACUACAGGACUCAAAGCGGGUAUCAGACCAAAAACACAUGUAGAUAUUUUAACAAGCUAGCUAACAGUAGUGCUUACAACGAAUCACCUUGCUUAAUUUAUACUUCAGAUCUGGAAACAGAGCAGGACAAAGAGAAGGAAAUAGAGCAGGAUAUAAUGCUGUGCUUAACAGCAUUCUUGUUCAGGUCGAUGCUACUUCAAGUAUGUGGCUGUACAUACAUGUGGCUGUACAUUUUAGUCAUUUAGCAGACGCUUUUAUCCAAAGCGACGUACAAAGGAGAAACAAUCAAACAUAAAAUAUCUGUGCAUUUCCAAUUAUAUAUUCUAUUUAUAUUCUAUUCUAAUGCACAUUAAUGGAAUCUCGUGAACAUUCCACUGAAUGAUGUAUUCACCUAGGAACAGUAACCAUUCAUCAAACUUCAAAAUACUAGUUAAGUCAUAAAGGUGACCAGGCAACAUGAUGAUGUCACAGAAAGUCAAUGCAUAACUCCAAUGCAUGUUGGAAUUCUACUUCAGUGUUUACUGAGUCAGCCUAGAAAGUGGUUGAUAUUUGAUGAGCUAAUGGGAUUUUUGGCAUUUUUUAUGUGCUUGUGCUGCUGCAGAGCAGCCAAGCAGGAAAAGGAUAUUGAUGAAUCGAGACGACGUGCCCUCCGAAAAUACAAAGUUGAAGACUUGCAAAGAGAACUGGAAGUUUUGGGAGUUCCACUCAAUGAUGACGGCAAAACAAAAAAAAGCAAGAAAAAGCUGAAGAGGGAACUCAGGAAACUCCUCAUAAAGGAAUUCAGGAGAGUUGACCUGGGGAUGGCACUAAAGGAACUAGGAGUAUCAUCUGGGGCCACCAAGGUCUCUAUGGUAACAGAAGUGGACCCGUCGGUAACGACCAACAGCAAUAACACUGAGAAGGGAAAGAAAGAAGGGAAAGAUGGACAUCUGGAUGAUUUGGAUGAUCAGAAAACAGAGUAUGCCAGAACAGACCAGCAGACCACUGAAGUCCAGGCCCUACUGAAUGACCUUCCAGUUGAGAUGGAUACUUUUGCAGGUGUGUAUAACUCUAAGCAUAUAUUCCCAUAUUUGGAUGCCCUUUUUCUAAUAUUAUCUGAAUAAUCCUCCAUGAAUAUCUGUGCUGUAGAUCCGAAAACAGAGCAGGAAAGUGUACCAGACCAGGGGUCACUUGAAGUCCAGGCCCUGCUGAAUGACCUUCUGGAUGAGGUGGACACUUCUGCAAGUGAGUAUGAUCUUAAAACAGACACUCCAACAUUUGAUUAUGUUUUCCAGUAUUGCUUGAAUAAACUGCCUGGGAUAUCUCUGUGCUGUAGAUCGGAAAACUGAGCUGAAGGGAGAGAACAAGGAUGGGACUGUGGUCAUAAACCCUGUAAUUCAGAACGCCCUGGAUCAGGUGGACCCAGUUCUAAGUGAGUAUAAGUCUAACACAGAUGUCCCAACAUUUCAAUACGCUUUCCAGUAUUGUUUUAAUAAACUGAGUGGCAUAUCUUUGAUGCAGAUCUGUCCAAAGAGGUAGAGGGACCGGUAGGGGACGUGGCAGAAGCACUCAGGACCAUGCUGGAUAACGGGGAUUCUGCUAUGAAUCCAACAAUAACGCAGAAAGGAGGUAAAGAGGAGGUCACGGCCGAGCUGAACAAUAUUUUGGAUCAGGUGGACUACAGGACUCAAAGUGAGUAUAAGGCCAAAAAUGAUGUAGAUAUUUCAACAAGCUUGCCAGUAGUGCUUGCAAUGAACCACCUUGCUGACUUCAUACUUCAGAUCUGGAAACGGAGCAGGACAAAGAGAAGGAAAUAGAGCAGGACAUAAAGGCUGUGCUUAACAGCAUUCUUGAUAAGGGUGAUGCUACUUCAAGUGAGUAUACAUGUGGCUGUGCCUGUGCCAUCCCUUACUGAUGCUGAUGAACCACUUUCAUGCAACAUAAGAUAUCUGUGCAUUUCCAAUAAUAACAUUACAUUAA